UGGGGAAUAUUGCACAAUGGGCGCAAGCCUGAUGCAGCCAUGCCGCGUGUAUGAAGAAGGCCUUCGGGUUGUAAAGUACUUUCAGCGAGGAGGAAGGCGUUGUGGUUAAUAACCGCAACGAUUGACGUUACUCGCAGAAGAAGCACCGGCUAACUCCGUGCCAGCAGCCGCGGUAAUACGGAGGGUGCAAGCGUUAAUCGGAAUUACUGGGCGUAAAGCACACGCAGGCGGUGUGUCAAGUCGGAUGUGAAAUCCCCGGGCUCAACCUGGGAACUGCAUCCGAAACUGGCAGGCUAGAGUCUUGUAGAGGGGGGUAGAAUUCCAGGUGUAGCGGUGAAAUGCGUAGAGAUCUGGAGGAAUACCGGUGGCGAAGGCGGCCCCCUGGACAAAGACUGACGCUCAGGUGCGAAAGCGUGGGGAGCAAACA
rnacentral:rRNA from 1 species